UUAAGCAUAUCAAUAAGCGGAGGAAAAGAAACUAACAAGGAUUCCCCUAGUAACUGCGAGUGAAGAGGGAAGAGCUCACAUUUAAAAUCUGGCGGUCUGGCGGCCGUCCGAGUUGUAGCCUGGAGAAGCGUCUUCUGCGCCGGACCGUGUACAAGUCUCCUGGAACGGAGCGUCGUAGAGGGUGAUAAUCCCGUCGUCGACACGGACCCCCGGUUAGCUCUGCGAGGCGCUCUCGAAGAGUCGAGUUGUUUGGGAAUGCAGCUCAAAGUGGGUGGUGAAUUCCAUCUAAAGCUAAAUACGGGCGAGAGACCGAUAGCGGACAAGUACCGUGAGGGAAAGAUGAAAAGCACUCUGGAAAGAGAGUUAAACAGCACGUGAAAUCGCUGAGAGGGAAACGCUUGAAGUCAGUCGCGUCGGCGUUAGGAGGUCAGCCUCGCGGGAUAAUAACCGCGGGGCGCACUCUCCCGUCGACGGGCCAGCAUCGAUUUCGACCGCCGGAGAAGGGCUCGGGGAACGUGGCACCUCCGGGUGUGUUAUAGCCCCCUGUCGUAUGCGGCGGUCGGGAUCGAGGUUUUACAUGUUCGCAGCACGCCUUCUUGGCCGGGGCCGUUCGCGGUCCACGUCCGUGCUUAGGAUGCUGGCGUAAUGGCUUUAAACGACCCGUCUUGAAACACGGACCAAGGAGUCCAACUCGCCUGCGAGUGUUUGGGUGGAAAACCCGAGCGCGUAACGAAAGUGAAAGGUCGAGAACCCCUUUGACCGGGGGGGCACCGACGCCCGGGCCCUUUCAACCCCCUCGAAAGGGGGGGCCCUGGACCCGCGGUAGAGCAUGCGUGUUGGGACCCGAAAGAUGGUGAACUAUGCCUGAAUAGGGUGAAGCCAGGGGAAACCCUGGUGGAGGCUCGUAGCGAUUCUGACGUGCAAAUCGAUCGUCGAAUUUGGGCAUAGGGGCGAAAGACUAAUCGAACCAUCUAGUAGCUGGUUCC
rnacentral:rRNA from 1 species